UACGGAAGGGGGCUAGCGUUGUUCGGAAUUGAUUGGCGUAAAGAGCUCGUAGGCGGUCUGUCGCGUCUGCUGUGGAAAACUCAAGGGCCUUUAACCCUGAGCUUGACAGUGGGUACGGGCAGACUGAGAGGUGGCGGGUAAGGGGAUCGACUGGAAUUCGUGGUGAUAGCGGUGAAAUGGACAGCCAGAGUAUCGAGGAGGAACACCGGUGGGCCGAAGGCGGGUCUCUGGGCCGUAACUGAACGCCGUGGAGGAAGCGGAAAUGCCAUG
rnacentral:rRNA from 1 species